AGAACGAACGCUGGCGGCAUGCCUAACACAUGCAAGUCGAACGCUUUUGGGGCUUCGGUCCCAAAGGAGUGGCGCACGGGUGAGUAGCGCGUGGGAACCUGCCCUGUUGUGGGGGACAACCGAGGGAAACUUCGGCUAAUACCGCAUACGCCCGGGGGAAACUCCGGGGAAAGAUUUAUCGCAGCAGGAGGGGCCCGCGUCGGAUUAGGUAGUUGGUGGGGUAACGGCCCACCAAGCCUGUGAUCCGUAGCUGGUCUGAGAGGAUGAUCAGCCACACUGGGACUGAGCACGGCCCAGACUCCUACGGGAGGCAGCAGUGGGGAAUAUUGGACAAUGGGCGCAAGCCUGAUCCAGCAAUGCCGCGUGAGUGAUGAAGGCCUUCGGGUUGUAAAGCUCUUUCGCACGCGACGAUGAUGACGGUAGCGUGAGAAGAAGCCCGGCUAACUUCGCGCCAGCAGCCGC
rnacentral:rRNA from 1 species